GUACUUGCAAUCUAGUGCCUUGGCUUAACUAUCAAUUAUUAGCAUUUCUUGUUACUAAUUGAAUUCGGCCUGCAACUUAUGUUGCUUUUUGUAUUGAAUAUCUAAAUUUUAAUCUUAAACAAGAACUGAUCUAAUCUGAUUUAGCAACUGAAAAAAGUCAAAUUGACUCAUAGGAGAAGUGCACAAAUUAAGACAGAGAGUACAUUUUAUAGAAUUCUGCUCCUAAUUUACUAGUGAUGGAAGACAUAUUUAAGACCACAAAUUUUAAGGGUAUUCUUGAUAUGCAACAAAAGUGUUUUUCUUUAUAAAACAUAGUGUCUAUUCAAAUAUUGCCGUUUAAAAAGUACGAUGAAAUAGUUCAAGUCUUUUUCUAGUUACUAGCCUGUGGAAAAAAGUGGUGAAUUAUGCGUAAUAUUGAAGGUCUGAAGUGAAAAAUUGACCUUGAUGUUUGUUUGCUUUAUUGAUAGACAGGGGAUCCUCUGUAUGUGCUACUAUGCUGUUGGUUAGCUGCAGUGGGAGCUGGUUUACUCAAAUCUGAGGAGAUUUUGGAGGGUGUAGCAAGGCUUAGUUUAGCAAAUGACAUUGAAUUUGAAGAGCAAAACUUCAUUGCAUUGAUGAAUGAAGCAAGAGAGGUUAGCAAGAUUUCAUUUGCCAACGAUUUUUAGCUUCUUUUCAUUUACAUUACACUACUUUCAACGUUUAUCAGUAAAAUACUAAAACGUUGUAUCCUUAGUUUAGCAAAUGAUAUUGAAUUUGAAGAGCAAAACUUCAUUGCAUUGAUGAAUGAAGCAAGAGAGGUUAGCAAGAUUUCAUUUGCCAAAGAUUUUUAGUUUCUUUUCAUUUACAUCACACUAUUUAGCCUACACUCACCAAGGUCCAAUAAUCAUAUAUCACACUUAUGUUUGGGCUCUCGAUAAUGGACUACUGUUAUACCAAUACACUUAAAACAUAUUACUCCACUAUAUAACAAAGUUUACAUAAAGUAAGCCAUC
rnacentral:lncRNA from 1 species